GCGUCUGCUCCGCGGAAAGCGUGCCUGCGGGCGCGGGCCUGGGACCCGACGGAGAGCCGCUCCCCGCCCCCCUGCCCCGCCUCCUCCGAGCGCGACGCGGACCCGCGGGGCCUUCGCUCCACAGCAGCCUCGUUGCCCCUUUGGCGGGGCUGGUGCCACCGGAGGAUGUAGUUUUUGCUUGAAGAUUCGUAACAAAACGUCGUAGGAACGGCCACCUGAUUUCCUCCUGGUGCUGUGCGCUGGCGGAUCAGUCUCUGAUUAAACCUUCCUUAAAAGCCUAAAGAGCAUCCGAACGGCCACGGCGCGUGUGAUCUUCAGGAGGUCGCCCGUCCACCUUCGCUGCCUCAGCCCUGCGCCGGCAGGACGGGGCUCCCGAUUCCCACGUUUCUCGGAAAAUGAAUGAAUGAAUGAUAGGGUGCGCCAUUUUCACUUUUCCUUGUGGUAGAAAGAAGUGUGGCUUUCCAGAAGCUGUGAAGUACCUGGCAGCGCAGGCAAUGGAGUGUUGGAGUUAGUGGAAUACUCCGGCUGGGGUCCACACGCAGCAGGCUGCUUCCUGUGGAAACAACCGUGGACGGCGUUGAGGGCCGGGGCUCGCUUAGCAUCACCCGGGGCUUCUCGGUCGCUCACUGCUGCGGGGCUUCGCUAUUCCAGUUUCUGUUAUUUCAGCGUAAAUGGCACGAGGGGAUUAUCACUUUUAAGAACUGUAAUGAAACAAAAAAAUGUAAAUACUCUUUUCAAAUCACAUUUCGUCCAUGUCAUUUUUCUCAGCCAGAGAAAGAUGUACCAUUGAAUUGGAAACCUGGGUUCCUGCCUUAAUGGACUAUGGAACGGGAAGCGCUUUAAUUCAAGUAUAUUUGUAUACUUUCCAAAUAGAAGAAAAAAACAAAACAAACUGCAUUAGACUGCUUUUUACUUGUGAUGGACUCCAGAUAUUUUUCUCUGUAAGCCAGUGAGCCUUCAGCAGACAGACCUACAUGGCCUUAGAAUUUGUCAGAAUUAGAUGGCCUUCCGUUCUAUCGUGACUGAUUUUUCAAUUUGUCUUCUUGAAGUGUAGUUUUAUUCUACUUUUAAAAAUCAUUUAUAUGUUAACAGUGUCAAAACGUGGAUUAUCUGUUUAAUUAUUUAUGAACCUCAGCAGGAUAUUUUGUGUGGUCAUUGUCACAUAAAUGACUGGUAUGUGAGAAAAUGACUGCAGACUCCUAUAUCCAAAAAUCACAACAAAAAAAGACAGGAAAAGUAGGCAAGUAGCAGUAGUUAUGGACUCCAUGUUUGUGCCCCCUGCUGAGACUCUUAGGUUGAAAUCCUAACCCCCUAGUGGGGUGGUAUAGGAGAUGGGGCUUUUGGGAGGUAGUUAGGUUUAGAUAAGGUCAUAAAGGUAGAGCCCGCAGAAUGGAUUAAUGUCCUUAUAAGAAGAGCAAGAGACUAGAGCUUGCUCUCCACCACAUGAAGACAUAGCGAGAAGAUGGCCAUCCGUAAACCAGGAAGGGCCCUCCCUGGAACCCACCCAGGCUGGCACCCUGAUCUCAGACUUCCCAGCCUCCAUAACGACAAUUUUCUGUUGUUUAAGCUAUGCAGUCUUCGGUAUUUUUGUUACAGCAACCCAAGCUAAAACAGCAAUGAACUGUUCCCCAAGGUCAAGUGUGGGUGUGGAAUCCUGCUCCAGAGUCACAUCUAACAUACAAGAUUCAAGACCCAGUUUUCUGUCAGAACCUUCUAGCAACUCUCCUCCAGGAGCCAGGUACUUAGUGGUCUUGAAUUCCUUGCUUUCUUUUUCUCAGUGGUAAACUAGAUGGAAGAGUCCUGCUUAACCAUCAGAGAAUCUCAGCAAGAGGUGCUCCUGAAAUAAUCACAGAGUGUCCUGGUAUCCUGAGCUCACAUGAGCUCCCACCUCUCACAACUUUCGACUGACCCAGAUAUGACCAGAGUGACCACUGCUCUCUAUUCCUCUCACCAUAGAAGGACAACGGUGCUCCAUUCACAAUUCCUGUCCCUUCAAUGUUAGUUUUGAUUGAAAAAAGGGGGCUAGUGAUGAUAUUAAAACAGGAAGCCUCAGAAGUAUAUCUGCUCAAACUCAGGUGUACUGGAGCCUGUGGGUUUCAGGAUACUCUACCCUCGCUGGGUUUUCAACCCUUGACAUCCCUUUGAGAUUGAUUGCUUGCAUGAUAAUUCUUCCUAUGUAAAAUCACUGGGAGACACAACAACUGCCAUCAGAGUGAGCUUGAUUUCUAACACAAAAAUAUAAAUCUGACCUCCUUAAAGACCUCUCACUGGCUCUGCAUUCCUAGGGGAUGAAGCCCCACACUGCCUUCUACCCUCCCCUCUGGCCUCUUCUAAGAAAGAGGGGGCAUCAAAAAGAAGUAUAGUUGCAAAUCAGGGGGUUGGAGAAGAACCAAGAAAUGCAAACAAAGUUGGGGAGGGGAGUACAAUCAUCUCCCUAUAUUUGAACAAUGUGGUCACAUAAUGCUUGUUCCACCUUAAUUCAUACAAGGGCGAGAUUUGAAAAAAAAAAAAAAAUGCCUUCACCACUCAGUGUGUAAUUUGGCUCG